rnacentral:rRNA from 1 species
UGCUGCAUGGCUGUCGUCAGCUCGUGUCGUGAGAUGUUGGGUUAAGUCCCGCAACGAGCGCAACCCUCGCCCUUAGUUGCCAUCAGGUUAAGCUGGGCACUCUAGGGGAACUGCCGGUGACAAGCCGGAGGAAGGCGAGGAUGACGUCAAGUCCUCAUGGCCCUUACGGGCUGGGCUACACACGUGCUACAAUGGCGGUGACAGUGGGCAGCGACCCUGCGAAGGUGAGCUAAUCCCCAAAAACCGUCUCAGUUCGGAUUGUUCUCUGCAACUCGAGAGCAUGAAGGUGGAAUCGCUAGUAAUCGUGGAUCAGCAUGCCACGGUGAAUACGUUCCCGGGCCUUGUACACACCGCCCGUCACACCAUGGGAGUUGGUUUUACCCGAAGCCGGUGCGCUAACCUUUUAGGAGGCAGCCGACCACGGUAAGGUCAGCGACUGGGGUGAA